rnacentral:rRNA from 1 species
CGCGCGGCCCGGGGUGGCCGCGGCUCGGGAUCCUUGGGAACCGGCCGCGGUGUCGAGCCGGGCUCCGCCGCGUGCACUUUCCGCGGGCAGAGAGCCACAACCGGUUCGGGUUUUUGGCGCGGCGAUAUGCCGUGGAGGGUUGUAGGUGGGGGCGCUCGCGUCCCUACCAGCCCUCCCCACCGGCGAGCCGCCACCGGACCGAGGAAGCCGCCGCGCGCCUCGAGGCCGCCUUCCCCUCCGGGUGAGUCCGACUGGGAGAGACU